UCUCCUGUAGUUGAGUGGUAGAGAGUCCGACCGCCGUGCGGAUAGGUCAUAGGUUCGACACCUGUUGGGAGAA